CAUUAAAUUAUAUUUUUUGAAUUUGUGAUUGAUAUUGCAUAUUUAAUUUUUGUAUAUUUUGUCAAUUUGUAAUAUAUGAUGAAUUUGUGAUGAACAUCCUUCACUACUAGAAAUAGGCCGAUUUCCGACGGACAGUUUUCGACGGACACGUAUUUCCGUCGGAAAAAUAAGAAAUUCCGACGGAUUUUUAUUCCGUAGGAAAUCAGUCGGAAAAUUCUGACGGAAUAUAUGGGCUUUCCGACGGACUAUUCCAUCAAAAAUAAAAUUCGUCGGAAUAUUCCGUCGAAAAGCCCAUAUAUUACGACGGAUUUAUAUUUUGUCGGAAUAUUUGUACUUUUCGACGGGAAAUUCCGUCGGAAAAGGUCAUUUCCAACGGAAAAUUCCGUCGAAAUCUUAUUUAAAAAAAAAAGAAAAAAAAAAUAACAAAACCCUUUAAAACCCAAACCCUAAAAUAGCCCAAACUUCCCCCCCUCAUUUCCGCCACUCUCUUUCCCCUUUCUCCUUCUCUUUCUCUCUCCUCUCCUCUUCUCUUUCCUCUUCUUCUUGAUUUCUCCUUCACUCCUCCUCCGAUCUUCUUCUCCUUCAUUCCCCCUCCCCUUUCUCUUGUCUUCUUUCUCGAUCUUCUCUCUCUCCAUCCUCCUCUUCUAUUUCUCCAUCCUCCUUUCCAUCAACAACAACAACGACACUACAUCGAUCAACCACCACCGUCAAUUCCAACAACCACCAACGUCAACAACCAACAACAACGACGCAACAACAACGGCGCAACAACAGCGACGAGCCCCCCACUCAAGGACGUGGUGCAGCUAUUCCAGGAUGCAGCUAAGACUUAUUGCUUUCGAAAGGUGUAUACGGAGUAAUAUUUAUCAGCUAAGCCCAUUAUAUAGUUGGGCCAGACUACUUACGAUGACUAGUGUUACUUUUCCUGUAUAUCUAUUGGGCCUAAACUCAGUUCGGCUGUGUCAUUCAUGUCAUUCAAUUAUGUUCAUUUGAUGUUAUUGAAUAUGGACUAAGAUUUAUUUGUUUAAUUUUUUUUUUUUUAUUUUUU